CAAUGAUGUCCAGCUACUACUUACAAUGACAAUCUCCUCAGGGAAGGAACAGCACAUGCAUUUGCCCAAUAUAACAUGGACCAAUUCACACCUGUGAAGAUAGAAGGAUAUGAAGAUCAGGUCUUAAUUACAGAGCAUAGUGACCUGGGUAAUAGCCUAUUUUUAGAUUCAAGAAGCAAAAUUUUCUUUAAGUUUGAUCACUUAUGGAAAUAAGCCAGUGACCCUCAACCAGAGGAAGUAGAUGGAGG
rnacentral:lncRNA from 1 species